ensembl:lncRNA
CAGGUUUGUUAUACUCAAUACAGAGACGAGGUUCGAUGAUAAAAUAAAUUGACAAUUUAUUAAUUAAAACAACGUUUAAAAGCACAGUCAUAAAUAUCAGUGUAUAAGUAUGCUAAAAAAGGUAUUCAGAGCUGAGGCUUACCAGUGGAGGGCAGGGAUGCCACACACAAACUCAAAAAAAGAAGAAAAUACACCAAGACACAAGUGCAGCACACUAUCACACACUCACACUAUAAAUUAAACAAGGCAGGGAUGCCACACACAAACUCAAAAAAAGAAGAAAAUACACCAAGACACAAGUGCAGCACACUAUCACACACUCACACUAUAAAUUAAACAAGGCAGGUGUGUACACUCAGAGGAUCCCACCACCAAGGCACCCUGGUCUCCUCCACGUCGGCACUCCGCAUCUGAAUAAAAGAAACAAAGAAAAUUUAAUAUAUUACAACAAAACUAAUAUGCAGCGCUGGGGGAUAACCCAACUGCAGGACCACACUGGUGAUCUACAGCUAGAAAAAGGGCCUCCCACCAGUGGCGUAACAAAAAUCCAAACUACAAAUCAAACAACAGUAAAACAACAUACAAUCUGGGUAAAACUCUAAAAUAUGGAGCAAACGGAAUCGCCGUAUUGCUCCAACUUGCCGUCUGCACGGCUAUAAGUUAAUUAUCCAGUCAGUCAAUCAGUAUGCGCGCCAGCCGACCCGCGUGGCAUGCAUAUGGCCGUUGUUCACGCCGACGUCCACUUUAAAGGCUGGCAGCAGCAAAGAAACUUCGCAGCCGGAACAGACAGUAAAAAUAAAGUAAAACAAAGCAAAGCAUCACAGCAAAGCAAAGCAAAGCAGCAGCACUUCAGUUCACGUAGCUUGGCGCAAAACUCAGGCCCACACUUCCUGCAAAGCAUAAUAAAUAAUUACUAUAAAAGAACAACAGAAGGCAGAGAGCGUAACAGAAGUUGAUUACAUACCAAGUAAGCCGUGUCAUAAAACGUAAGCAGAAUGGCUCAGAGGAGGCUUCUACAGCUACGACCUACAAACAAUAGCUGUUUACCAUCAAGCAAAGUAAUAUAUACACUACAAUGAGUAAACACCUACCAGCUGC